AUUAUACCGCGAAACUGCGAAUGGCUCAUUAAAUCAGUUAUCGUUUAUUUGAUAGUACCUUACUACUUGGAUAACCGUGGUAAUUCUAGAGCUAAUACAUGCUAAAAAUCCCGACUUCGGAAGGGAUGUAUUUAUUAGAUUAAAAACCAAUGCCCUUCGGGGCUCUCUGGUGAUUCAUAAUAACUUCUCGAAUCGCACGGCCUUGCGCCGGCGAUGGUUCAUUCAAAUUUCUGCCCUAUCAACUUUCGACGGCUGGGUCUUGGCCAGCCAUGGUGACAACGGGUAACGGAGGGUUAGGGCUCGACCCCGGAGAAGGAGCCUGAGAAACGGCUACUACAUCCAAGGAAGGCAGCAGGCGCGCAAAUUACCCAAUCCCGACUCGGGGAGGUAGUGACAAUAAAUACUGAUACAGGGCUCUUUUGGGUCUUGUAAUUGGAAUGAGUACAAUUUAAAUCCCUUAACGAGGAACAAUUGGAGGGCAAGUCUGGUGCCAGCAGCCGCGGUAAUUCCAGCUCCAAUAGCGUAUAUUAAAGUUGUUGCAGUUAAAAAGCUCGUAGUUGAACCUUGGGCCUGGCUGGCCGGUCCGCCUCACCGCGUGCACUGGUCCGGCCGGGCCUUUCCCUCUGGGGAACCGCAUGCCCUUCGCUGGGUGUGUCGGGGAACCAGGACUUUUACUUUGAACAAAUUAGAUCGCUUAAAGAAGGCCUAUGCUCGAAUACAUUAGCAUGGAAUAAUAGAAUAGGACGUGUGGUUCUAUUUUGUUGGUUUCUAGGACCGCCGUAAUGAUUAAUAGGGACAGUCGGGGGCAUCAGUAUUCAAUUGUCAGAGGUGAAAUUCUUGGAUUUAUUGAAGACUAACUACUGCGAAAGCAUUUGCCAAGGAUGUUUUCAUUAAUCAGGAACGAAAGUUAGGGGAUCGAAGACGAUCAGAUACCGUCGUAGUCUUAACCAUAAACUAUGCCGACUAGGGAUCGGACGAUGUUAUAUUUUGACUCGUUCGGCACCUUACACGAAAGUAAAG
rnacentral:rRNA from 1 species